UACGAAGGGGGCUAGCGUUAUUCGGAAUCACUGGGCUUAAAGGGUGCGUAGGCGGCCAUGUAAGUGGGGUGUGAAAUCCCUCGGCUCAACCGAGGAACUGCGCUCCAUACUGCAUGGCUUGAGGGAGACAGGGGUAAGCGGAACUGAUGGUGGAGCGGUGAAAUGCGUUGAUAUCAUCAGGAACACCGGUGGCGAAAGCGGCUUACUGGGUCUCUUCUGACGCUGAGGUACGAAAGCUAGGGUAGCGAACGGG
rnacentral:rRNA from 1 species